rnacentral:rRNA from 1 species
GACGAACGCUGGCGGCGUGCUUAACACAUGCAAGUCGAGCGGAAGGGCCCUUCGGGGUACUCGAGCGGCGAACGGGUGAGGAACACGUGAGUAAUCUGACCUUGGCUUUGGGAUAAGUACAGGAAACGGUGGCGAAUACUGGAAACGAAUACCGUCUGCGUGGGGUGGGUGUGGAAAGGUUUUUCGGCCAGGGGUGUGCACGCGGCCUUUCGGCCGGUUGGCGGGGUGAUGGGGUACCAGGGCAUCGACGGGUAGCCGGCGUGAGGGGGUGAGCGGGCGAGCUGGGACUGCGACACUGGCCAGACUCCUACGGGCGGCCGCCGUGGGGAAUCUUGGACAAUGGGCGGAAGCCUGAUCCAGCAACGCCGCGUGAGGGAUGCCGGGUUUCGGGUUGUAAUCCUCUUUCAGUACCGACGAAGUGCCGAUGAUGGUGGUGACGGUAGGUACAGAAGAAGCACCGGCCAACUACGUG